rnacentral:lncRNA from 1 species
CGAGACCACCGAGCCCGCCCCUGAGUUCGUCAAGGGAGGUCGAAUGUUUACUUAAGCCAGCCUAGAGCCUCGUACUGCUGCUUUCAUUUGCUGAAUAGAGCUUAAACUCUGCACUUUCAUGGACUGAAGUUCAUUUUACUCAUCGACUUACUUACCAUGUCAUAGGUUUCCAUUCUCUGCUCUCUAUUAUUGCUUGAUGCUCUUUGCAUUGCUGUAUUCAGUAGGGCCAGCUCGAACCGUGUGCACCUGGAAGAAGGCCAGCCCAAAGUUGAUGAAGGGAGAAAGCCAAUAGGAUGCCCUGCAAAUCGAUUUCGAACAAGGUGUGUGUAGAUUCAGAAAUGUUCAGACUGAAUGUUCACCGAAUUAGUAAAUCUUGUCUUUCCUAAAAACUGACCAUGUCUUCGAACAAGGUGCAUAUGCCAGUGUUGUGUUAACACUUAACACUGAAUGUUCAGUCUUGAUUUUGAAUGUUCACCGAAUUUGCAAAUCUUGUCUUCGAACAAGGUGCAUAUGCCAGUGCAAACCGAACAGCAAACUGAAUUACUCUGAAUAUUCAGAAAAUAUCAUGUUAGACAAGAUUGUGAAUUACUCUGAAUAUUUACAUGGAACAGCAAACUGAAUUACUCUGAAUAUUCAAAAAAUAUCAUGUUAGACAAGAUUGUGAAUUACUCUGAAUAUUUACAUGGAACGGCAAACUGAAUUUUUUGACCAUUUUACCUGGUGUAAACCGUAGGCAAAGCUGUUUGGAUCCUCAAAUACAGGAGUAACUAAAAGAGCAUUUACCAUCUGCAGCAUCUCAAGAAAUUCAGACUACACUACAGCAUCUCAAGACAUCUGCCCACCUUUUGUUUUGGUCAGAUGACUAGAUUGUGCCAAACUGUGCCCAACCACAAAGACAAAAGGCACUAGCACCACAUAGUUGCAUUAACCAAAUAGACUUGUUUCAUGAGUGCUUAAUUUGCAUUGAUCAAAUAUACUGUAAUUGCAGAAAUUUUAGGAAUAUUGCUUGUCCAAUCUGUGUGUAGAAAUUUUAGGACUAUGUGAAUUAAAGGCUUUCUACUUGUCCUUGCUACUCCAUCUCAUUUGUUGUUAGUUUCUAGAGUACACCUACCAAAAUCACUGCUAUCAAGAGUGCAAAAUGGAUCUGAAUUCUGAAACUACAUCAUGUUCCUGUUAAUCAUGUUUCUCAGUGAACUGGAUUCUGAAACAUUAAAUCAAGAGUGGAUCUUGUUUGAACUACUCUGAAUUCUGUCUUGAAAACAUUCAAUCAAGAGCAAUGAUAUUAAGAAAAUUACUCUUGCAUGCUCAAGUGAAUUAGGACUAUGAUUUUAAAAACAUUGAGCAUUGUACCAUUUCCAAAAUCUGGACUAGCUGACUGAUCAGCAUGGCAGCAUAAAAGUUGACUGAAUUUUACUGAAUCAUUAAAUUGUAUUUUACUGAACCAUUUCUACUCCAUUUAUUUCCAACUUUGUUUCUUGUGCAAUUUGCUUCUUGUCCAGUUUAAUUCAGUUUGAUUUAAUCCAUACUCAAUUGACAACAUCUCAAAUUUGGUCCAGACAACGAGAAUCAAUUGACAGCAAAAAAUCAAGGUUGAACACUGACAGUGACUGCAUUUAACAUGACUACUUCAUUUAAACUUCACUGUAAUUAUGCAAACGAAAUUAUGCAAGUGCUGCUGACCGUUAAUUAUGCAAGAGUAUUUCCUUAUUUAGAUCAGUUUGGCCCCUUUUCAAUUUUGCUCUACAUCACUUGCUCCUUGUAAAUUAUUGCCAAUCCACUAUCAAUUUUGAUCAGCAUAAUUGUACACUAUUCCUCAGUAUGAUAAUCCUCCUGGGAAGAUAAUCUACUACUCCCAGUACUACUGCUCCCAUGAUCAUGAAGUGUUAAUCCUGAUGUACCUUCAACAUUUUCAGUUUACUGCAGUACCUGACGGCCUCUCACAGUCUGCAACCAGCCAACCACCUCUACUGGCUGCUGCCACUCCUCACAUUGGCUAGGUAAUUCCUCUUAAUUUCUAAGAAAGCUAUCCCCUGCUCUCCGUUGCAACAAGUGUAUGAAUUUUUAACUGAACUUCAACUGAAAAACUGUGUAUCACUGUAUAAAGGAGAAAAUGACUAUGGAUUAAAGGUCUGAGAAAACUGUGUAUGUACACUGUGUAUCACUGUAUCAUGGAGCAGUAUAGUACUGAAAACAUCUCCAUAAAUGAAUUUUGACAGUUUACAGAUUCAGAGUUUGGAGUACUAGCAAUUAUCUUCAGCAAGACAAGUUUACAAACAUCUCCAUAACUGAAUUUUACAAAUUCUCCAUAAAUGAAGACAUCUCCACAAAUUCUCCACAAAUGAAUUUUGCUUGUACAUACACUGUGUACAAGCAAGAUAAAUUCAGCAAGACAAGUUUACAAAUUCUCCAUGAAUGAAUUUUGACAGUUUACAAACAUCUCCACGAAUACAUGGAAAGAAAAGUUUACAAAUUAUCUUCAGCAAUUAUCUUGCAGGUUCAUCAGCACUUGAAAAAACAGCCAUAGUAAAUUCAGAGUUUGGAGUACUAGCAAAUUAACUGAACCCUGAAACCUGAAAUUUUAACUGAAUUUUACCAUCUUAUUCUUCCUGAGGAACACGAGCUCUGGGCUCUGGCGGCAGCACAAGGAGCAGGGCAGAGGAGCAGGACCUCGUCAGCGUGCUUCUUGCUGCGCGCCAGUCCCCGGCGCCGGGGGCAAGGGGCGGGG